GGGCCCGCACAAGCGGUGGAGUAUGUGGUUUAAUUCGAUGCAACGCGAAGAACCUUACCAGGGCUUGACAUCCUGCGAAUCUCUGGGAAACCGGAGAGUGCCUUCGGGAACGCAGUGACAGGUGGUGCAUGGCUGUCGUCAGCUCGUGUCGUGAGAUGUUGGGUUAAGUCCCGCAACGAGCGCAACCCACGUCUUUAGUUGCCAGCAUUUAGUUGGGCACUCUAGAGAGACCGCCGGUGACAAACCGGAGGAAGUGGGAUGACGUCAAUCAUCACGGCCCUUACGUUCUGGGCUACACACGUGCUACAAUGGCCGGUACAGAAAGCAGCCACUAUGCGAAUAGGAGCUAAUCUUUAAAACCGGUCUC
rnacentral:rRNA from 1 species